rnacentral:rRNA from 1 species
AGUGAACGCUGGCGGUAGGCCUAACACAUGCAAGUCGAACGGCAGCACAGUAAGAGCUUGCUCUUACGGGUGGCGAGUGGCGGACGGGUGAGGAAUACAUCGGAAUCUACUUUUUCGUGGGGGCUAACGUAGGGAAACUUACGCUAAUACCGCAUACGACCUACGGGUGAAAGCAGGGGAUCUUCGGACCUUGCGCGAUUGAAUGAGCCGAUGUCGGAUUAGCUAGUUGGCGGGGUAAAGGCCCACCAAGGCGACGAUCCGUAGCUGGUCUGAGAGGAUGAUCAGCCACACUGGAACUGAGACACGGUCCAGACUCCUACGGGAGGCAGCAGUGGGGAAUAUUGGACAAUGGGCGCAAGCCGGAUCCAGCCAUACCGCGUGGGUGAAGAAGGCCUUCGGGUUGUAAAGCCCUUUUGUUGGGAAAGAAAAGCAGCAGGUUAAUACCCCGCUGUUCUGACGGUACCCAAAGAAUAAGCACCGGCUAACUUCGUG